rnacentral:rRNA from 1 species
AUGAGAAAGGUGUCAAUGUAUUUGUUUUGUGCUAAUUGUUUUCUCUUUAUAGUAUUUCUAGUUGCGUAUCAUCAUUUUGGAUGUGAAACAAGAGAUGGUCCUUUUUUUUUUGUAUCACAUAAAAGUGUUGUAUCCUGUAUUCAGCCUACAUUACAGGUUGAACCUGAUGUAUUCCACUUUAUCUUUUGGAGCAUGUAUAGGAAUGGCACUUGCAGUGGAAUGUCCAGCUGCUGCUGUAUUCAACCUCUAGGAAUUAAGCAUCAUCAUUCAGACAGGCGCUUGCAGUGGCAUGUCCAGCUGCUGAAAAUAUGA